CUGAUGAAUUUACGUACGCUCAACACCCGUUGAUUAUGUCUGGUGUCAGUAAACGUCGGCAAAAAGCGUUAUUAAAUUGUUGUCAACAGCACAGUUACAGUCACCAACGCUCUGGAUAACAUGAAAACAGCCUAACCAGCUCUGCUAGUGAGGACAGAACACUCGGAUCAAUCUACUGUCGGCCAAAGCGUCACGUGUGCGCUCUGAACGCGAAACUCUGACAACGCUCUGAAUUUACGAACGCCCAGAGCGCACUCUGGCACUCCAGAUUGAAUUUACGAACACACUCAUCAAUGAGACAUAGGCCUACUGAUUCAAUGAUACCAAAUAGUAUGGAUACACUGACAAGAUAGAAGUCUCUCUGCCCUAAUGCACCGUGUACACUAGCGUCAUCCGCCCAGAGUGGCUCGCUUGUGGGAGUGCUGGCAGCACGUUCGAUUGUGCGUCAAGAAUUCAGCAUAGCAAGUUUGUAUGAAGGUCUGGUUAUUCACAGGUAAAUAGUAAUAUGCUCUAAACCGAUCUGGUAACAACCAAACUUUGCUGCCCUGUUUCCAAUCGUCAACAUGGCUGGGAGAACCUACCUAUUCAAGUUUUCUGUCCUCAGAUACAGAGAGCUGUGAAAGCCUGUCUGCAGAUGAAGAGGUCCCAAUGAAGAGCAGUGGUUCUCAGUCCUGGUCCUGAGGACUCAAAGGGGUGCACGUUUUUGCUGAUCAAGUCAUCAUCAAGCUUCAAGUGAUACCUUGUAACUGGAGAUUCCUUCAAAACUAUUGCCUACAGUUACCGUGUAGGGCAUUGCAAGGUUUGGUGACCAGGGCCAUCUGGGACUGCAUCCUGGGGGAAUUCAGGCGUGUGAAGGCUACCUGUGUCCUGCAUAACUUCAUGAGGAUGGACACGAGGACCAGAUCUGCAGCUCACCGCCGUGUGCCAGAGGAGAGGUCUACUGCUCUGCAGGAUGUUUCAAGGAUGGGGGCCAACAACGCAGCACGGGAGGCAAUCCAUGUGCGGGAGAUCUUCACCUCCUACUUCUUUGAAGAGGGUGCUGUUCCCUGACAACACCAUAGACUACACUAUGCUCUUUUAAGAGCCAUCCACAUUGAAAACAUUUAGAACAAUUAGACACCAUAUAACCCACACCUACACACUCAUGUAUCAAUCUGAUUGAUGGAUUGUGUUGUGUUGUGCAGUAAGCAGGCUCAGGUGUACAACUGUGGCUCCUUCCACCUUCAAAGAAUAGGCAAGAGGACCAACCACGGAGAAUAUAUAAAGUACUCUGCAGCCACUUAGUGUGGACACCAGGUUAUAUCAGCUGUGUCGGUGAACCCCUCUCGCAUCUGAACUGGCUGACACAGAGGGCACAGCAUGAUCAGAGGUAUGUUUUGAUGUGAGAGAGGGUCCCGUCAUCACCAUCUCACCCACUCUUAAGAUAACCUUCGGGCCAACUGGGGGCCCAAGGCUGUUAGGAGACACUGCUAGAGACACUAUUAUGUAAUUGUGAUGAACUGAGAGAAUAUUAGGGUAGCACUGUAAUUCAUUAAUCAUAUGCUGUCUUCCCUGCUCCUCUGUUCUUACCUCUUUCCCUUAUUGUCUUUUAUACUCUUUCUUACACCUCUCUACCCGCCUCUGCUUUCUUCCUCUGUUUUUAUAAUGCACACCAGAUGUGCAUUGAAGUACAGAUCGAACUUGUAUUUAGAAUAUAUUACAAUUAUAAUAUUUAUAAUGCAUGUAUUAUGUAUUUAUAACACUUGGAUAAUUAACUUCUUGCAAUAAAGCGUUUCACAUUC